GCAGCAGUGGGGAAUAUUGCACAUGGGGAAACCCUGAUGCAGCCAUGCCGCGUGUGUGAAGAAGGCCUUCGGGUUGUAAAGCACUUUCAGUUGUAGGAAAGGGUAGUCGCUAAUAUCGGGCUAUCUGUGACGUUAGCAACAGAAGAAGCACCGGCUAACUCCGUGCCAGCAGCCGCGGUAAUACGGAGGGUGCGAGCGUUAAUCGGAAUUACUGGGCGUAAAGCGUGCGUAGGCGGUUAAUUAAGUCAGAUGUGAAAUCCCGGGGCUCAACCUCGGAACUGCAUUUGAAACUGGUUAACUAGAGUAUUGUAGAGGGUGGUGGAAUUUCCAGUGUAGCGGUGAAAUGCGUAGAGAUUGGAAGGAACAUCAGUGGCGAAGGCGGCCACCUGGACAAAUACUGACGCUGAGGCACGAAAGCGUGGGGAGCGAACAGGAUUAGAUACCCUGGUAGUCCACGCCGUAAACGAUGUCAACUAGCCGUCUGUUUCCUUGAGAAGUGGGUGGCGUAGCUAACGCGCUAAGUUGACCGCCUGGGGAGUACGGCCGCAAGGUUAAAACUCAAAUGAAUUGACGGGGGCCCGCACAAGCGGUGGAGCAUGUGGUUUAAUUCGAUGCAACGCGAAGAACCUUACCAUCCCUUGACAUCCAGAGAAUUUUCUAGAGAUAGAUUAGUGCCUUCGGGAACUCUGAGACAGGUGCUGCAUGGCUGUCGUCAGCUCGUGUUGUGAAAUG
rnacentral:rRNA from 1 species